CCACGCUCAGAGCAACUGCCCCGUAUACUCUGGCCGAGCAGUAAGAAAUUAGUCACCUCUCCGUGAACUCCACCACCUGAGGGUCUGCGGAUGCUGGACGUUCUUCCCCGCCUGAUAGCUGCCUGACAGUAGAAGCUAAAUGUCGAGAUGGUGUGACCAAAAGAUGGGAAUAGCCUGGAUGUCAGGUGUGCUUAGAAGGGAGAUGUCCAGAGGAGCCACGGUACUUGCAGCUAACUUCAUUACACGGGCCUCUCACUGUUGUGGCCUCUCCUGUUGUGGAGCACAGGCUCCUGACGCGCAGGCUCAGCGGCCAUGGCUCACAGGCCCAGCCGCUCCGCGGCAUGUGAGAUCUUCCUGGGCCCGGGCACAAACCCGUGUCUCCUGCAUCGGCAGGCGGACUCUCAACCACUGCGCCACCAGGGAAGCCCCUGUACUUUCUGUUUUUUCAUUGAUCAACCUUACCAGAAGUUUGUCUACCAUAUUUUAUUAAAUCUUAGAUAUUUUACUCCAUUAGAUAUUUACUCCAUUCAUUUUCUAAUAUUAAUUUUCAUACUUCUUUUAAAAAUAUACCUAUGAAGCAAUAAAUUUUCUUUUUGUGCUAUUUGUACUACGAGUUUGAUACGCAAUGCUUUC